rnacentral:lncRNA from 1 species
GCAAACUCAAUUGUUUUGGAUUCCUGACUCAAAGUUGUAUAAACGCUCCAAAUUUCAGCCAAAAACGAUGUCAUAUGAGGGUGAUAUGAUUUUUCAAAGAUGACAGCUAAAUUCUGCCAGCAAUCAGGUUUCGUGAAGAAACAAAUCCAAAUUACAUCCCGAAGCAUCAAAACCGACAUCCAAGUUUUAAUUUCAGCAAUUUAGCUCCUCAAGAACAUCAAUCCAGAAGGUCAAGGAAGGCAGCCACCAACCUCAAGCCACCAACCUCAAACCACCAACCAGCUGCCAGCCACCAGCCACCAGCCGCCAGCCGCCUUCACACUACCACCAUCUCUUGAUGUUCACACUUGAACUUUGAUUUUUCUUACUUGCAAUUUGUGUAUAAAUAGGCAGCUAAGUUCAUGAUAUUAGGAGAGCCAAGAGAGAGGGAGAGGGAGUGCAGUAGAAUCAAAGAAAGAAGGGUGGCAACCAUAAGAGAAGAAACACAAACUCUCCCCUCUACAACCCUGAAAUCAUGUAUUCUUUCAUCUUUAGGAGUAGUUUUUCAAUAGAUAUGCAAGGCUAAGCUCGUUUUCUUGGUUGCAAGGACGCAAACACCUUCAGAUUUCAAGAACUGUGAGAUUUAUUCUUCCAUUUAUUUUCAGUUUGUAUUAUGAAUGAGUAUGUUUGUUUUCCUAUGCAUAUUUCCUAUGAUUGUUUAUCUUAAUUGCUAAAAGCGGACUCUAAGUUAUUAUUGUGAACAAUCUAUUGCUAAGUUUGAUAUCAAAAC